GUGGGGAAUAUUGGUCAAUGGGGGAAACCCUGAACCAGCAACGCCGCGUGAAGGAAGAAGGCUUUCGGGUUGUAAACUUCUUUUAUGUGGGACGAAAAAAUGACGGUACCACAUGAAUAAGCCACGGCUAACUACGUGCCAGCAGCCGCGGUAAUACGUAGGUGGCAAGCGUUGUCCGGAUUUACUGGGUGUAAAGCGCGCGUAGGCGGAUGUGCAAGUCAGAUGUGAAAUACCAGGGCUCAACCCUGGGGCUGCAUUUGAAACUGUGCAUCUUGAGUGAUGGAGAGGCAAGCGGAAUUCCUAGUGUAGCGGUGAAAUGCGUAGAUAUUAGGAGGAACACCAGUGGCGAAGGCGGCUUGCUGGACAUUAACUGACGCUGAGGCGCGAAAGCGUGGGGAGCAAACAGGAUUAGAAACCCUUGUAGUCC
rnacentral:rRNA from 1 species